GACGUAGGGCGCGAGCGUUGUCCGGAUUUAUUGGCGUAAAGAGCUCGUAGGCGGCUUGUCGCGUCGACUGUGAAAACUUGGGGCUCAACGUCCAAGCUUGACAGUCGAUACGGGCAGGCUAGAGUUCGGUAGGGGAGACUGGAAUUCCUAGUGUAGCGGUGAAAUGCGCAGAUAUCAGGAGGAACACCGGUGGCGAAGGCGGGUCUCUGGGCCGAUACUGACGCUGAGGAGCGAAAGCGUGGGGAGCGAACAGG
rnacentral:rRNA from 1 species